GCCAUAUAAGGUUGAAAACACCGGUUCCCUUACGAUCAUGGAAGUUAAGCAACAUCGAGCCUGAUCAGUACCUAGUUGGGAGACCGCUUAGGAAUACCGGGUGCU